rnacentral:rRNA from 1 species
GAUGAACGCUGGCGGCGUGCCUAAUACAUGCAAGUCGAGCGAACAGACGAGGAGCUUGCUCCUUCGACGUUAGCGGCGGACGGGUGAGUAACACGUAGGUAACCUACCUAUAAGACUGGGAUAACUUCGGGAAACCGGAGCUACUACCGGAUAAUAUUUCGAACCGCAUGGUUCGAUAGUGAAAGAUGGCUUUGCUAUCACUUAUAGAUGGACCUGCGCCGUAUUAGCUAGUUGGUAAGGUAACGGCUUACCAAGGCAACGAUACGUAGCCGACCUGAGAGGGUGAUCGGCCACACUGGAACUGAGACACGGUCCAGACUCCUACGGGAGGCAGCAGUAGGGAAUCUUCCGCAAUGGGCGAAAGCCUGACGGAGCAACGCCGCGUGAGUGAUGAAGGUCUUCGGAUCGUAAAGCUCUGUUAUUAGGGAAGAACAAACGUGUAAGUAACUGUGCACGUCUUGACGGUACCUAAUCAGAAAGCCACGGCUAACUACGUG